GACGAACGCUGGCGGCGUGCCUAAUACAUGCAAGUUGAGCGCUGAAGGUUGGUACUUGUACCAACUGGAUGAGCAGCGAACGGGUGAGUAACGCGUGGGGAAUCUGCCUUUGAGCGGGGGACAACAUUUGGAAACGAAUGCUAAUACCGCAUAAAAACUUUAAACACAAGUUUUAAGUUUGAAAGAUGCAAUUGCAUCACUCAAAGAUGAUCCCGCGUUGUAUUAGCUAGUUGGUGAGGUAAAGGCUCACCAAGGCGAUGAUACAUAGCCGACCUGAGAGGGUGAUCGGCCACAUUGGGACGGAGACACGGCCCAAACUCCUACGGGAGGCAGCAGGAGGGAAUCUUCGGCAAUGGACGAAAGUCUGACCGAGCAACGCCGCGUGAGUGAAGAAGGUUUUCGGAUCGUAAAACUCGGUUGGUAGAGAAGAACGUUGGUGAGAGUGGAAAGCUCAUCAAGUGACGGUAACUACCCAGAAAGGGACGGCUAACUACGUG
rnacentral:rRNA from 1 species